GACCUUCGAACGAGCAAAAUGGAAGGAACCAAAGAAGGUCCAGAUCUCACCGAUACCCUGAAAGCGAUAACGUGGAGCAAACGAUUACUCGCUUAUUCUGGAAUUUGGCCAUUGGAAAUUCGGAAUUCAUUAUUUCUACCAUUUUCAUUUUACGGAUGCCUUUACAGUAUUUUAGGAUUUCUCGAUUUAGCAGAUCGUAUCACCGAUUUUCAUUACGUAUUGACGAAUAUUAUGGAGAACAUGUUGAUGUUUUUGACAAUGACGAAAUUUGGUUUGUGCCGAGUAAAAUAUCGAUCUAUUUCAAGAUUUUUAAUAGAAACGGAAAAUGAUUAUGUCAUCAAUAGUUAUAAAACCGAAGAGGAGAGAAUGAUUUUUAUGAAAUAUAACAGAUUUGCCAUUAGAAUGAUCUUGAUUAUGAUCCCAUUGAUGACCUUCGUACUUCUUACACAUUAUUUUAAUGCUGUCAUACCAAAUGUACUUAUGGUUAUGGCGAAUUCUUCAGUGGAAUAUAAAUUACCUUAUAAAAUAAGGCCGUUACUUAAGCCGUCCGAUGUAAAAAGAUAUGUCUUUGGUUGUAUACACGAGUUUGUUGGCAUAAUAUUGGUCCUUUCCGCUUACGUCGGAACUGAUUGUUUAUUGACUUCUUCCGGUUUUCAUCUUACCGGCCAAUUAGCCGUAUUGAAGUGUAAAGUGAAAGAAAUUUUGAACGAUACGGAUGGUUCUCAGCGGGUAAUACAAAAAAUUAUACUUCGACAUUAUCAUUUGAUAAGAUUAGCGGAUAUAUUGGAAGAUAGUUUUAACAUGGUCAUGUUUCUACAUUUGUUAGGUUCAACGAUUCUAAUUUGUACGUCGAGUUAUCAAAUGCUUGUCAGUUUAGCGGUAUUAGAAAAAGUCUAUAUAUUUACAUUCGUUGUAUACGUUUUUCACUUGUCGAUCACAGUGUUCGUUUAUUGUUACAUGGGGGAAUGUCUUAUCGAGGAAAGUACGACCCUGUGCGAAGAAUUUUAUCAUUGCGACUGGUACGAGCUCUCGACGAACGAUUUGAAAUCGAUUUGUCUUUGCAUGAUUCGCGCUAGGAAACCAUUGCAAUUGACUUGUGGAAAGUUUUGCGCUGUAUCCUUGUGCACUUUUACCGACAUUUUAAAGUCAUCGAUGGCGUACUUAUCAGUAGUACGAACAAUGGUGUAAACAAUACUGUACAACAAUUAGUCUUGAAUAAUUAUGACUGGAAUUUUAUAAUUGAUAUGUUUAUAAAAAUUGUAAUCAUACUGCAUUUAAUAAAAGUGCAUAUAAUCACGUCAUAUAGAUAAGUAUCGAACUUGUAUACUAAUAUGUUA